rnacentral:lncRNA from 1 species
UAUUAAAGAAGACGAAGGUUUCAAUAGGUGCACUGAUUCUUCGAUGCGCUGGUAGAACAGAUGGUUAUGAAUAUGGGUGGCUUCUUAAGCAUAAUGAUGUGACUAAUUCUGAAUCCAGGAUGCAUUUAGCCUUGUUGAUGAUACCUCAUGUAAAAGAACGUGAUGUGAAGACGAUUAAGAAGGUUUUUGAUUGGUCUCAAAACAAUCUACCCGCUAAUCUGUUGGGAGUUUUCGUGAAUGAGGAACUUACAGAUCCUCAAUUUUUGAAGGAUUGGUUGUGUAAGUCCAGUAGAGCUAUAUUCAACUCAGAAAAUCCCCUUUUCCUGGCACGUCCAAAUGAUCCUACGAGGUUCUAUCUGAACCACGGUAAAUUUCCAAACUUGCUUUUUCUGCAUACGAUAUUACUGAAAUAAUGACACUAGUAUAUAAUGGAACUAAUACCAUUUCUUUCAUAUAUACAUGUGCAUAAACAGAGCUCAUCCCACAAUUCUUUCACCGUGAAUGUGUGAAAUUUGCUGGAGAAGUGAUGGCAUUAGCUUUGAUAUAUAAAGUGAGAGUAGGUGUCACAUUGGAUCCAGAGUUGCUAUCGCCCUUGAAGGAUUCGUCUUUGGAUAGUAAGAGCCUGGUAAGUUCAAUAAUUCACAAGAUUUGAGAUUCUUUUCAAGAGAAUUUGUGAUACCGCAAGGUUCUUGAACUUUCCACUGUUAUCCACAAGCAGGUAUCUUGUUUCUCAAGUGGCUUUUUGAAUGUUUUUGGUGUGCCAAUCGAAGAAUUGAGGCUUGUUGGAGGUUUAGAGAUUGAAGACAUUAAUAAAGAGUUGCAUGGACCCCGGAGAUCUAAUCAUAGUGCAGACAGUACUAAUGGCAAAAGGAAGAAGUAAGUUGAUACCGAUCCUCUAUUGUCUUAUUACCAAAGGGUAGGGGCUUUUCCCUAUGUAUGUUCUAGCUUUCUGUUGCAUAACACUUUGUAGGGUUUGGGUCUCUCCAGCCAUUCUAUAGUUUUCCUAGUCUAAGUUUGUUAUUGUUAAAUUGUGAUUAGUACUAAUGUGACAAAACUGGACUUCAACCUAGACUUUGUAGGCUUUGGGUCUCCUCAGCCCUUCUAUAGUUUUCCUAGUUUACGUUUUGUUAUUGUUAAAUUGUGAUUGGUACUAAUGUGACAAAACUGGACUUCAGCCAAUGCUAUGGUACCAUAUUACAAUUUUUAGAAGGGUUCUUAAGCUUGGGCCAACCAAUAUUAAAAUAUUAGUACUAACCAAUUAGGUAGGCAACUUUCCACCCUUGUAUGUUUUUCAUAGAUGGUUAUUUAUUCAAUUUGGGAUUCUUAACAAUAGUACUGGUCAGUGCCUAACAAUAGCAGAAAUGUUAGUCCUAUUACUUUCAACAAUAGUGCCAAAAGUGCUCAAUUCAUCUUCAACUUGCAAGAACUUACUCCAAUAAGUUGAAGACCAGUUUUCUCACAUCAGUACUAAUCACUAUUCAACUUGCAAGAACUUAAUCUACCAAGUUGAGAUGAGUUUAGAAGUUUUAGCACUCAUGCAGAAAACAUGUUGAAUACUUGGCAGGUCAAAAUACUGGGUCGUGAUAUUCAGAAUUGGCAAAGGGGCUCAAUGUUGGGGAGUGGGUCAUUUGGAGAAGUCUAUAAAGUAAUGGCUGAUCCUCAUGGGUUCCUUUUUGCUGCAAAGAAAGUUCCACUUACUGAUGCACAAAAAGUCAGCUCAAUUGAGCGUGAGAUUGAUUUAUUAUGUCACCUACGUCAUGAAAAUAUAGUUGAAUAUUUUGGCACAAAAAGGGACGAAACAGAUCUCUAUGUGUUUCUUGAGUUUGUAAAUGGGGGCUCCAUUGAGAAAGUUUAUCGAGAGUUUCCCCUUAAUGAUUCCCAAGUGUCCUACUACACCAAAGAGAUACUAAAAGGUUUGGAGUAUCUCCAUGAGCAAGAUGUUGUGCAUGGGGACAUUAAAUGUGCAAACUUACUGUUGAAUGAGAAUGGAGUCGUGAAAAUUGCUGAUUUUGGAUUAGCAAAGGUAACUGACUUGAAGACUCUUCGCAAGUCAGGUAGAGGGACUCCAGCCUGGUGCGCUCCUGAGGUCAUUAAUUUGAAGAGACAAGGAUGGAAUGGAUUCCAAGCUGAUAUAUGGAGUCUUGGCUGCACUGUCUUGGAGAUGUUAACUAAAAACCACCCGUACUAUGGUUUAGAACCUUGGACGAUAUGGUAUCAGAUUGGAGAAGGUAUACUGCCUAAAAUUCCUCAGACUCUCUCUGAGGAUUCGCAGAAAUUUAUUCUGAAAUGCCUGCAAGUUAAUCCAGAGAAACGUCCGACUGCCACCGAGCUUUUAAAGCAUAGAUUUGUUAAUAGGUCAUAGCAAGCAGCAGAACAUACCAAACUUCGUGUUAGUUUCAGCUUAAAUUGUGGAAUUUACUCAAUGUUUAACAGCAGUUUUUUCUUUAGUGCUAAAGGUUUGCUUCAGAUUUAUUUUUAGAUUGCUCAUCCUUUAUUAUAGAAUAUUAUUAUUUGUCAUUAUCAUUGAUAAAAUAUCUGUUGUUUUUAGGAUCAUUAACAUUGCUAAAAUUAGAAUAUAUAAUUGUUAACCAGAAUAUUUUGAUGCAAACAGAUAAAUACUUGUUUGGUUAUUUUACAGCUAUGUCAAUUGAAGCAACUAAGUCUGUACAGUCUACAUCAUUUGAUAGCUCCAGUCCAACAGCAUCAUUUGGAAGUUACGAAACAGCCACACCAAUAGAGAGUUUUGAACCUCUUAUAAUGUUUAAAAAACAGCAAUUCACAUGUGUAGAAAUAGACUGUGAGUGAUUCAGCACCAGAUGAGGAAUUGAUAAACAACUCAACAGAGGAGGAUAUNNNNNNNNNNNNNNNNNUCUACUGAGUUGGGAUGAGUUUGGAAGUUUUAGCACUCAUGUAGAAAGCAUGUUGAAUACUUGGCAGGUCAAAAUACUGGGUCGUGAUAUUCAGAAUUGGCAAAGGGGCUCAAUGUUGGGGAGUGGGUCAUUUGGAGAAGUCUAUAAAGGAAUGGAUGAUCCUCAUGGGUUCUUUUUUGCUGCAAAGAAAGUUCCACUUACUGAUGCACAAAAAGUCAGCUCAAUUGAGCGUGAGAUUGAUUUAUUAUGUCACCUACGUCAUGAAAAUAUAGUUGAAUAUUUUGGCACAAAAAGGGACGAAACGGAUCUCUAUGUUUUUCUUGAGUUUGUAAAUGGGGGCUCCAUUGAUAAAGUUUAUCGAGAGUUUCCCCUUAAUGAUUCCCAAGUGUCCUACUACACCAAAGAAAUACUGAAAGGUUUGGAGUAUCUCCAUGGAGAAGGUUUUGUGCAUGGGGACAUUAAAUGUGCAAACUUACUGUUGAAUGAGAAUGGAGUCGUGAAAAUUGCUGAUUUUGGAUUAGCAAAGGUAACUGACUUGAAGACUCUUCGCAAGUCAGGUAGAGGGACUCCAGCCUGGUGCGCUCCUGAGGUCAUUAAUUUGAAGAGACAAGGAUGGAAUGGAUUCCAAGCUGAUAUAUGGAGUCUUGGCUGCACUGUCUUGGAGAUGUUAACUAAAAACCACCCGUACUAUGGUUUAGAACCUUGGACGAUAUGGUAUCAGAUUGGAGAAGGUAUACUGCCUAAAAUUCCUGAGACUCUCUCUGAGGAUUCGCAGAAAUUUAUUCUGAAAUGCCUGCAAGUUAAUCCAGAGAAACGUCCGACUGCCACCGAGCUUUUAAAGCAUAGAUUUGUUAAUAGGUCAUAGCAAGCAGCAGAACAUACCAAACUUCGUGUUAGUUUCAGCUUAAAUUGUGGAAUUUACUCAAUGUUUAACAGCAGUUUUUUCUUUAGUGCUAAAGGUUUGCUUCAGAUUUAUUUUUAGAUUGCUCAUCCUUUAUUAUAGAAUAUUAUUAUUUGUCAUUAUCAUUGAUAAAAUAUCUGUUGUUUUUAGGAUCAUUAACAUUGCUAAAAUUAGAAUAUAUAAUUGUUAACCAGAAUAUUUUGAUGCAAACAGAUAAAUACUUGUUUGGUUAUUUUACAGCUAUGUCAAUUGAAGCAACUAAGUCUGUACAGUCUACAUCAUUUGAUAGCUCCAGUCCAACAGCAUCAUUUGGAAGUUACGAAACAGCCACACCAAUAGAGAGUUUUGAACCUCUUAUAAUGUUUAAAAAACAGCAAUUCACAUGUGUAGAAAUAGACUGUGAGUGAUUCAGCACCAGAUGAGGAAUUGAUAAACAACUCAACAGAGGAGGAUAUNNNNNNNNNNNNNNNNNNNNNNNNNNNNNNNNNNNNNNNNNNNNNNNNNNNNNNNNNNNNNNNNNNNNNNNNNNNNNNNNNNNNNNNNNNNNNNNNNNNNNNNNNNNNNNNNNNNNNNNNNNNNNNNNNNNNNNNNNNNNNNNNNNNNNNNNNNNNNNNNNNNNNNNNNNNNNNNNNNNNNNNNNNNNNNNNNNNNNNNNNNNNNNNNNNNNNNNNNNNNNNNNNNNNNNNNNNNNNNNNNNNNNNNNNNNNNNNNNNNNNNNNNNNNNNNNNNNNNNNNNNNNNNNNNNNNNNNNNNNNNNNNNNNNNNNNNNNNNNNNNNNNNNNNNNNNNNNNNNNNNNNNNNNNNNNNNNNNNNNNNNNNNNNNNNNNNNNNNNNNNNNNNNNNNNNNNNNNNNNNNNNNNNNNNNNNNNNNNNNNNNNNNNNNNNNNNNNNNNNNNNNNNNNNNNNNNNNNNNNNNNNNNNNNNNNNNNNNNNNNNNNNNNNNNNNNNNNNNNNNNNNNNNNNNNNNNNNNNNNNNNNNNNNNNNNNNNNNNNNNNNNNNNNNNNNNNNNNNNNNNNNNNNNNNNNNNNNNNNNNNNNNNNNNNNNNNNNNNNNNNNNNNNNNNNNNNNNNNNNNNNNNNNNNNNNNNNNNNNNNNNNNNNNNNNNNNNNNNNNNNNNNNNNNNNNNNNNNNNNNNNNNNNNNNNNNNNNNNNNNNNNNNNNNNNNNNNNNNNNNNNNNNNNNNNNNNNNNNNNNNNNNNNNNNNNNNNNNNNNNCGAUCUGAAAUUUCUCUUUGAUGUUGAGUCUAGCUACUUGAGUUAGUAUCGAGGGCCAGCUCCCAAUUCUCCCCAGCUGCAUCUCCAUUGAUGAACCAAUCCACAAUCAUUAUCAUGACUUCAUUCACUGUCAAACUAAACUUGGUUUUUGGUUUUCACUUGCAGAAAGCGAGCAUAACUAAUACGAACUUGCUAGGCUUUUGCGUUGCAAUCAUAUCAUGUAAAGUAUACAUGUAGACAUAAUAUAUACAGGCUAGCUAAUUAGUUACAGGCCUAGGGCUCUCGAUUGAAACUCUGGUUCACACUCCGAUGACUCCUUCUGCAACCCGACUAUUAUCCUGUAGUGAGUGUUAAUCAUGACAGACAAUCUUACAGCAUUGCAGUGAAUUCAAUAUAAAUUCUAGUAAAGAAAGAGGGGUUGCAAGUAUGCAAUACCUUAGAAUUUGUUAACUUCAUUUGGUGAAAAUUACACCCAAUUGCACCAUCCCCAUAAAGAAUUUUUGCUCCACAUCCUGGUGCAUCCACUGACCCAACAGCCUCUUCAUCAACCAAAACUGCAGUAAUAUAAUUGGUUCCUGUCUUGUUCUCUGGCACCUGUAACCAGAUAAUAAUUAGCAUAACAAAUAAAAUAUACUCCCAACAUUUAAUGUACUCGACGGAUCAAGAGUGGUAGAAUUUGAAAUCGAAGUAUACCUCAUACAUUGCUUCUGUAAGAAUAUUUUCUAAGAUAGCUCUCAAUCCUCGGGCACCGGUGUUCUUAGCCAUUGCUUUCUUGGCAAUCAAUCUCAACGAAUUCUCAGUAAAAUGCAGUUUGACCUGAAAGAUUUUAGAGAUGACAAGCAAAGCAUAAUUGGCCCCAUAUAUCAGCAUCAAUUAUUACACAUAAAAGGAGAAGAGAGCAGAAAGGUUUCCCAUGCAUAGCAAGGAACAAAAACUUACAUUAUUCAUAUUGAACAUCUUCUUGUACUGUUUUCCGAAAGCAUUUUUUGGCACCAUAAGGACCUAUGGAACAACAAAAAUUGCAUCAUAUUUUGUCAGUUUCCUUCAAAAAAACUGAGCUCAUUAACUUGAAAUUGCAAGUUUCUCUGCCUGCAACAUGCCCAUCAAGUGGAAGAAGCAUUAUCACCCCAUAAAAUAACACAAAAGAUAAAAUUCUACAUGAAUCAGGAAACAGAACCGCCACAGCAAUCAUCAAAGAAAAAGGAAAAACAUAUGGCAUCAAAGAGGUGGAAAAUACCUGAACCAGUUGGUCCUCAUUCAAUGCUGAUAAGCUCACUAAUAUCGGGAAGCGUCCAACAAAUUCAGGAAUCAGGCCGUAUGCGAUUAGAUCACCACUUUCUACCUGAAAGUCCACACAAAACUUGAGUAUCUACUUGAAGGGACUAGGAAGUGACACCCCUUCCCUAGCUCUUGAGUUAAUUAGUUCAGGAGAAUGUAUAAUUAUUAGAAUAAGCCAAAGUGAUAUCAACCCAAGGACCAAAAAAAAUCAAAUAUUAUAAUAGGAAAACUUGACUAGGUAUAGGGGUUUAGUUCUCACAGAUUCCAGCAAUGAUGAUGUCACAGCAGCAUCAGUCCUUCCACCAGUCCUCAUGUUUGCACGAACUGGUGCUCCAAAGCGAAUGGAAGCAUCUUGUCGUCUUAGAAAAGAAUUAGAACAUUCAGAGUCAAGAAAUCCUCGGCAACAAAUGCUAUGAGCACACAUCUAAAUAGGGAAAUUACCUUUCUGAAAUGGUUUUCUCCAAAUUAACAAAUGCCCCACCACAUAUGAAAAGGAUAUCUUUUGUGUCCAUCUGUAAUCAUCACAUCAAAGUUCUAAGAUGCACAAGAAAGAAAAGCCUCUUAAGGAAAAAAAAUUAAAACAGCUGGAAAAAAACAAACAUUUUUUAUUUUUUCGGUAUUCUUGAUGCCUUUAAAGUAUCAGGACAUUAUCCUUGCACUGCUGUUCAAGAAAAGGCAUGAAGUAAAAGAGGCACAGUGCUUCUCAAAGCCACAACUGCAGCACGAAAAACCUAUAAAGAAUGGCAUCACCUCAUCCUUGAAGGUUACAGCUUAGUAAGGACACAAUGUCACCAUGGUUAUUUUUCAAAACAUGUCUAAUUUUUCUCUAUCACAGCAUAUUAUUUCCAUUUGGGAAAAAGAACAAACAGAAAUCAUUUCCAUUGUUGUUAUUUAGUGGUGAAGAAUCAAUAGAAGUGUCUGCAGCACCACCAUUCCAUUGGUGGCACCAAACUUGAUUCGCAAUACAAUUGAACACAACACACAAGUCAAAGUGGCAACUAGUAUUUAUGUCUGGUCUUGUUCCCUAUUGACCCAAGGCAGGGUCCCAUGUCUAAUUUUUCUCUAUCACAGCAUAUUUUAUCCAUUUGGGAAAAAGAACAAACAGAAAUCAUUUCCAUUGUUGUUAUUUAGUGGUGAAGAAUCAAUAGAAGUGUCUGCAGCACCACCCUUCCAUUGGUGGCACCAAACUUGAUUCGCAAUACAAUUGCACACAACACACAAGUCAAAGUGGCAACAAGUAUUUAUGUCUGGUCUUGUUCCCUAUUGACCCAAGGCAGGGUCCUAUGUAACCAAAAAAUGUUGUCAAGGGUUUUGUUUUUCAUUCAAACCAUGAAUUGCAAAAAUUAACUUCCAAAUGUACUAGAUCAACCAUGUUAAUUUACUUUGUGAAAACACCUUCAGUCAUGAAAAGGUAAGAAAAGCACGUCAGUAAAUUUUCCAUUGAUUCUGGAAAUUUUCAUAUCAAUCCAUUUCAGGCAUGUUGAGAGGAAGAAAUGGAGUGUUCCAUGAAGUUGUAGAACUGCAGUUUUUAGAUUUGUUGUUUUAGCACUUAUCUAUCUCCCAAUCAAACUAAAAGAACACAAAUAUAUCCAAAUUCACAAAUACAUUGACAACAGCUUAACAAACUAAAAUGCAUAACACUAGAAAACAAAAUCCUAAGCAAACCCAUUAUGUCUCAAUUACAUAAGCAUAAACAAGUAAACAUACGGCACUAAACACUACUUUCAUUUGUCGAAACCCUAAAUAGUUACCAUCAACCCAUCGAAAAGAAACUAUCAAAUAUAUUACAGAACAGAAAACACUAGAAGCUGACCUGAGCAGCAAAAUCGAAAGCGGAUAACCGCAAUAGCAAAGAAAAGAACGAAACAAAAGUAGAAAGCGAAAUUAGUUUUUUUUUCCAUUGUACAUUGACAGCUAAAGCAGAAAGAGAGAGGAGAUCGUACCGCGAAAAGAAGAGCUUGAUUGAUUGAGAAAUUGUAUUAUCGAAAGUAAAAUUGAUUUGUUUAUAGUCCUAGCUGUUUACUUGUUUUAGUUAUAUUUGAUCCAACGAAAUUAAUUUUUGUAUGCAAAAUUAUAUUAUAUAUUUUAGGAAAAAAAAUACAAUUAUAGUCAAAAUGUCAAAAUAGUACAUGAAAGCUAGCUAUGGAAGCAAGUUGAGGUUUCGUGGGGGUACCCAACCUAAAAAUCUAUUUAAAGCAGGUUUAGGUGUUGAUUAAAUAUAUGAGUAUCAAAUUAAUUAUUUUUAUUAGGUUUGUGUUGGACAUGGAUGUAAAGUUAUGGGUAACUUCUGCCCACCAAAACUCAUUGCAUAGUUUAAUAUUUAUUAAAUAUAAUAAAAUUCAAGUAAAAAUUUAUAUAUAUAUAUAUAUAUAUUGGGUAUUUUAUUAAAAUUAAAAUAAAUUAAAAUCCAAACCUAAAGCUCCAAUCACUAAUAUCAUCAAAUACUAAAAAAAAUUAAUUACUUGCACUCCAUAAUGCACAUAACCUGGCUCCACUUAAUAAUAAUUCCAGCCUCUGUUAUGAAUUUUGCAAGGAAUCUAACAUUCUGCACAAAAAACUUUCCACUUAAUUUAGAUUCACACCACAAUUUCAAGGAUUAAUUUGGGAUAGUCACAAGUCGAUUUUAUGUUUAGAACUAGUUUUUGAAAAAUGAUAAAUGAAAAGUAAAAGCAUUCAACUAAGAAAUUAUUCUAGGAAGAGGCAGCAAAAGGAGAAUCACAAAAGCAGCAGGAGCCAGGCAUCUAACCAAGGGGUUUAUGACAGAAUUAUAUCAUUUUGAAAUAUAUUUUAUAAUGCAGAUUUAUCUAUACUAAACAAGGGUAAAUAACAAUAGGUGUUGAAUUAAUUAAAUAAUAGUUAAAAUAUCUUAUUCUACAUGGGUGUAUAUUGGUAAGGACGCAUAUCAAAUUGAUAUUUCACAGCUAAAAAAAGUUAAAUGAGGGAGACAUAAGCACCAUCUAAAAAAAAAUUGCAACCUCCAUGAUCCCCACUACAAUAAAAAUAAGGUUGAGGAAACUAUCUCUCAUCAUUACCUCGAAAAAGAUUUAAAAUCAAAAUCUUUUUAUAAUAGAUACUCUUAAGGGCUUAGUUUUUAUUAUCAAGUUAUAAGCCACAAAUAUGAAUAUGGAGACAUUUACAGAAUCAGUUGACAGAAGAUUCAGAACUUCAGACCAAAGAAAAGCUUUUAAAUAUAGACAUCCUCUUUGAUUCUUUUAAGAAUCUUUUUCUUAGUGAAUUUGUCAUUCUCUUCUGUUGAGUAUAUAGAACAGAAAACACAAACACAUACACAUCCUUAAGUUCUCUUACAGAAACACUUCCUCAGAAAAAAAAAAAAAAAAUCUUUGCUUUUUAUUGUCCCAUUCAUUAUCUAUCAUUGUCUGAUAAACUCUCUGCCACAUAUUACAAGCAUCAAAUCUGAGAAUGAAUCCAACUGGAUUGUUUUAGGCUUUUAGUUUAGGAGGCAACUUUUUGUCUCAAUGUUUUCAAAGAUGUAUUUAUUUUCAAAUUUCAAUUGAUUGUAAACAGUUAAUUGAAUGUGCUGAUCUAGUUUAAUCUGGCUUUUCUAGUUCUAGAGAUUUAUAUUGUCUUAACUAGUUUUAGUAGACAGGCUGAUGACUGGUGAGGAUCAUUUGAUUGGCUAUGGCAAUAAGCACGGACAUCUUACCAUUUUGUAACAUUGAAGUAGUAUCAUGCAAGAUGUAUGCUCCCUGAAUUUUGCAAUUACAUUAAGUAAGAUGGUAUUCUAUUCCCACCAAAUUACCAAUCCAGCUGAUGAGCCAACAGCUAUAAGAGCAAUGGCUAACUCAUAAUCAAUGGGAAUACAAAACCCAAUCCAGGUACUAAUAUAAGCAACUCAUAAACAGCAUUUACAGUUACAGGCUUUAAACAAAUCAUAAAUAGCAGCAUCAGUUUAAACCUAUUUGUAGCACAUGAAACAAAAACUAUACGCAAAGCUCACCCGGAAAUCAGCUUUUCUGAGAACUUCCUCCGUUGUUACUUCAAAUUCCUGUCUUCUAGGAGGUUUACGAUUUCCUGGCCUUUUAAGAUCGAGAUCCUGCAAAAGCAUGCAACCUUGAGACAAGACAAACAUGUGCAUUAAAAAGGCACAAAAUGUUCAAAACGGCACCAGCAAAAGAGUGCCAGAGAAAAGAGAGCACACUUAUUGAUGACAUUUAUAAGACAGAACAAGAUUAACCUAGAAAUCCUACUACUUCUAUGAUCCAAGGAAUUUCCUCAAAAGAGAUAUCAAUUGAAAAACCAUCACUUUCAUAAUCGCCAGUAUGUCUCAGGUUUAACGGCCAGUUCGAACAUGUACUGUAUGACUUAAUGCAAUUAUGGACAACAUCUAUAAACAGUAAAAAUACAAAAUGCAUAGUGCAUACAAAAUACAAUUUAAUUAAUACCUAAACCAUUAAUUGAACAUAUGUCCGCCUGACUUUUUUUUCAUGCCAUAGCUGCAGCUGAUUGAGCUGUAGCUUAUGUUCUAUAUCAAAACUCUUCAAUCAGAAAGAAACAUAAAGUACCAUAUAGUUAAAAAGGUUUAUGCUUUGAAAAUACUUGUAGAAACUCAUAACAUUCAAACUGCAAUAUUCUAAGUACAGUGUCACGGCUAUUCUACUACACGCCUUAACGUCAUAAGUUGAUCCAUGAUGAAAAUUCAUAUCUGAUCUGAAAACAUAGUUAUAACUGUCUAUUUCGUUAGGAUCAAACUCAACAUAUGUGGCCGCUUCCUUCAACUUUCCACCCAUGCCAUCAGAUACUGAGUUAAAACUCUCAUCUAGGCCAUCCAAAGUCUGCCGACGGUUUCCUUCACUCAGUCUAGAACAGGAAAUUUACGAGCUUUCUCAAUUCUAUCAAGCUUUCGGUAAAAGGAACUGUUAUCUGAGGUAUUAAAUAUUCGCAACUCAAACUCAUCAAUGGACUCAAAGGAAUUAGGAUUUCCCUUAUCACCACUGGGAUCACCUGUCCAAAUGCCAAAAAAACAAUAAAAAACACAAUAAGCAACAUUAACAGAUAGCCGAGAAAGCGAAGAUGAAUACUCUACUACAGAAUUUUUGAAGAAUAGCAAAGUGAUAGAGAGGUNNNNNNNNNNNNNNNNNNNNNNNNNNNNNNNNNNNNNNNNNNNNNNNNNNNNNNNNNNNNNNNNNNNNNNNNNNNNNNNNNNNNNNNNNNNNNNNNNNNNNNNNNNNNNNNNNNNNNNNNNNNNNNNNNNNNNNNNNNNNNNNNNNNNNNNNNNNNNNNNNNNNNNNNNNNNNNNNNNNNNNNNNNNNNNNNNNNNNNNNNNNNNCUGGACCAAAAUGCAAGAAUUAUGCAGCCGCAUAUCCCCAUAUAUGCUUGUAUGUAAAACAUAAAAGAACGCAAAAGUAACAAAAAAAUAAAUCAAAAAUCCUCAAUUCCACCAACCAAAGAUGUAAAUAAACACAAAAUGGGAGCACAAGCAAGCAUAACUAUUUCUUCUAAUUAGUACAAACAGAAUUGCCAAUUAACCAAGACGAACCAAAUAUUUAAGAAAAAAACACGCUCAUGAUGAAAUUUUAAAAAAAUUUCAAAUUGUCGAAACACAAAUAUAUCCAAAUUAACAAAUACAUUGUCGAAACCCGAAAUAGUCGCCAUCAACCCAACGAAAUGAAAUUAUCAAAUAUAUUACAGAACAGAAAACCCUCGAAGCUAACAUGAACAGCGAAAUCGAAAGCGGAUAACCACAAUAGCAAAGAAAACAGCGAAACAAAAGUAGAAAGCGAAUUAGUUCUUUUCCUAUUUUCUAUUGUACAUUGACAGAAAGCAGAGAGAGACCGAGAGAUCGUACCGUGAAAAGAAGGAGUUGAUUGAUUGAGAAAUUGUUUUACCGCAAGCAAAUUUGAUGUGUGUUUUGUGUCCGCUCCUGUUGCUUUUGUAUCAGUGACUCGCUCUCACCCCAAAACCCAGUUUUGUUUGUAAAUACAGGUGUUCUUUAAUCGAAAUACUUAUUUGCAACAAUGAAAAUUUAACUUAAAUUAAUGAUCUCAUGUAUCAUGGAGUGAAGAAGAAAUGGAAAGUUUAGAACUACACAAAUUAUUGCUGCCAUAUCUGACUCAAACAGAGCAAAAAACUGAAGACCCCUCUAGAAAGCAAUAUGACAGAGUUAAUAAGUCGAUUCAUGAGCAUCACAACAGCAAGGACCCUCACAUUUUCAUGGUCGAUGUGCAGAAGAAGCUUAAUCUCUCGCAGAGUCCCUUUAGCACGUCUCUGGCUAUCGAAAGCAUUACCAAUCUUCUUAAUGGUAACUUCCUCCCCUCUCUCGGAAUUCUUGGCAGCACUGAAGGAAAUAAAAAAUCACAUCUUCCUUUCCAUUGUUGGUAAGACAAAGCCAUUGAGUCAAAUGUAAGGAAAAUGUAAUCAGUUACAGUCCACCAGAACAACAUUUGUCUGCAUACACAACUGAACUGAACCAAAAAAUUUAGUUUUUCUGAUAAAAACCUGGAGCAGUUGUUCUGUUGAGCACCUCAAACAAUAGAUAAAAACCUGGAGCGGUUGUUCGUCGUUUAAGAUAUUUAGCUGAAAAGGGAAAUCACGUGCUCCGUUUUAAAUAUAAAAUGGAAACGAUUUCUCAGAUUCCAUUCAUCGUUGAAGAUUUGCAAUACCGGUUGGUUCGGGAUUUAGAUUGGCGCACCACUUCACCUUCAAGCAAGGAGAACGCAGAGUCGUUCUUGAGUGAUUUUAGGGACUUAAAUGUAUUUUCACGCCUUCCGUUUCAGGCAAUUCAAGAAUUUAACUCUUCUCCUACUCCAGAGAGUAAUUCCAUUUGUGAAGGAAAAAUGGAUUCUCUACCUUCUGUAUUUCUUAAGUUGUUGGUAAAGAUGGAGCACCGGCUCAAAGCACUUCAGAUAGACCAUAGUGGCGAAGGAAAGAUCAAUGACCUUACACAGGAAGAAAAGAUUAAUGAAUAAAAUGUCCGUUCGGAAUGGUCUCUGUAUCUUCCCAUUUUGGAAGAACUGAAUUUCAUUUCUAAAUUUCUUGAGGGUGCAGAGAAAGAAUUCUGGGGCGUAUAAAAGAAGUCAAAGGGUUGCAAUACGUGCACUGGUUCUUCGAUUCGCUGAUAGAAAAGAUGACUACGACUAUAUAAACAGGUAUCAUGUUUCGCAAAUGGCUUUGCCAAUGUUUUUGGUGUGCCAAUCAAAGAAUUGAUGUGUUUUAGAGGAUUAGAGGUUGAAGAUAUUAAUCAAGUAUUGCAUGGACCCCAAAGACCUUAUCAUAGUGCAGAAAAUACUAAUGGCAAAAUGGAGAGGGAAGCCGAGGUUGAUCCUCCGUUGUCUCAUUACCAAAAGGUAAGGGCUUUUCCCUGUAUACUAGCUUUCUGUUGUCUAAGACUUAGUAGGUGAAUUUCACAUGUCCUAAUCAUAAAAGCAUCAAAGCAGCUAAACAUUAGUGACGUUCAUCUAGAAAUCAAUUUUAUAGUAUUUUCAGUGCCUAGCAAUAGCAGAAAUGUGAGUCCUAUUACUUUGGCCUUCAAGUCAUCACCUUUUCGGACCUUGUCCAUACCUUCAUUUUUGACUCGGUCGAGGGUUGCCUUACAAUGAACCAGUUCGUCCUGCUUUGUUUGAUGCUCAGAAAGAAAAAAAGCAGCCGAUCCAAUGUCAUUGGCUAUAGCAGUAAAAUUACAGGCCAUUGUUUUGACUUGGUUUUUGGCCUCCGAGAAAAGAUAUUUAUCACUAGAAUGCUCCGCCAAGAACUUGGUGUGUUCCAGAAAUUGGUUACUUUGUUGUUCGUCUAGAAUGAAAGCAAGGCCUUGCUCUGCAAAGGCACGAACUCGGUCCAUUGUUUUGUUCAGCUUGAUCGAAAGAUCAUUAGAAUGACCAAUAGGCGCAGGAGGACUUUUAGGAACAUCUAUGAUCUUCAUUUCAUCCUGACCAGGCUCUUCAGCCAAAUCAUUGAUUGAAGAAAAGAAAUCAAGCAUGUUAGGACCUAGCUCCUGAAAUAAAUUCUGAAAGUCAAUACGAAACCUUUUAAGUGCUGAAUAAUGGUAAAAAAUUUUUGGGGCACUCUAAAAUAUUUAGUCAAUACGAAAAAAUUUAUUAACAUCAGAAUGUGAAAAUUCACAGGGAUCAAUUAUAAAAUGAAAAAUGAUUUUGGUUAUUUACUUAAUUGAUUAUUUUAAUUAUUUAAAACAUGUAUACAUUUAUUUUAUUUGUCCAAAAUAAAAUAGGAAUAAAAUCAUAGAGCCAUACAUGCUGGCAUUGAAAAAUAAGAGGUUAAAGAGAAAUUACUAUAGGUUUAUCAGUUUUGGGAGAGGACACUUCCAUGACCACAUUUGCCACAAUAGAUCGGACACUCUCAGAGUCAGACUGAACCACCGACUGUGGAGGGAUAGCUAAAAGUUGAAGAUUGACCCGCGAAGAUUUCUUGGAAAGCGACGAGACUACUUUUUCUGGUUCAUCUGUCACCUCUUUAUCCUUUCUCUUGGAAGAGACUCCUACCUCAGAACCCAUGUAUUUAAUCUUCAUCGAUCUUGGUGAAGAUGUUGCUUGUUCUAUCUGAGGAGACGGCAUGGAAGCACUAGUUAUUUCACUCUUCGAGCCAGGCUGAUUUCCGGAAGUUAGUACAUAGAGAAAGAGAAUCAUAUAAUGGCAAACCGAGUAGUACAUUUGAUUUUCUUUUCGGAGUUGGUGCCUCUUCCUUUGACUCUAGUUGAAACGGCCAAGCUGAUUCUGGACAAAUAGACUUCUCAAUUGCCUCUGCAAAACAGACAAAUGAGCACAAACGAAAACACAAGAUUGGUCGAUUUCAGGAAAAAAUUUUCUCUAUCAAAUCUUUAUUAUUUAUUUCCUGCUUUCUUAUCUUUUUCUUCACCUUCAACGCCUGUGUUUUUCCUUCUAGGUUGGCGGUUUUUCAAGGCCUAAAUAUCUAAACCUGAAUUAAUGACUCCUCCGAGUCUACACAUUCAAACAUGUUAGUUUCAUUACUCAAUUAAAGUCUACACUUAUCACUCUUUCAUCCAAUUUAGGGUGAACACAAUGGUAAAUGGACAUGCUAUAAAUAUGAACAUCUCUAGAAAAGUUCGAGGUCAUAUUCUCACCUGAUCACCAUCUGCUACCCGCCUUCGGUUAAACUUUUGUCUAACACAGUUUACUACAGCUAUGAGGUGUGACUCUCAAUAGGAUGUGGAUUAAACUCACAAGUAUAAGAAGAUUUUCAAGAUAGGAUUUAACAAAAGAAAAAAAAAAAUUGGACCUAUACCAAAAGUUUCAGAAGAGUGGAGAACAUUUCUGAAGAAAGCUGAGAGAUCUACUCGCUGACUUUCAUACUUUUUCAAGAAAGGAUCUUCCUGGUAUUUGCAUUGAAAGGUCUCAAUCGGCACAUGUUUAUAUGUUUAUAUAAAAGAAUGAAAAGAUAUAAUUUCCUAUACCAAAAGUUGACGUGCUGAUUUUCUGUCUUCUGGUUUUUUCUUCAAACUGAAAAGGAUAAUUAAUUCCAGGAUGGGAAAUAUAACUAAUUAAAAAGAGAACAGAAAUGGCAUGCAAAAACCAACUAUUAUAUAAUGUAUAUACACAAUUUUCAAAAUUAGAAAGAACGGAAAACAAUAACAGGCACCAGUGUAAUUUGAACAGUUUAUUUUCUUCCAGAUUACUUCAUACUCAUAAGAAUGGAUCUCCAGGAUGAUAAAUAUGCAAAGACAUAGAGGUUAUGGAUAUUAUAUAAUAAACAUGAAAAGCACUAUCAAAAAUUAUUUUGUAAAUAAGUCUUAUGGAAGCACCAUAAUCUUUACUUACCAUGAAGAUAUGAAGAAGCAAAACGCUGGAGAAAAUUGAUUAGAAGGUGCACGAGGUGGUUCUUGGUUAACAACAGUCUUCAGAAAUACCAAACCCAGGCUCCAAAUGUCGCUUUUGUGGUCAUAUCUCUGUUCUUCAAUUCUCUCAGGCUACGAAACAAACAAUCACACAUGUAUGAACUUUCAAGUGCAAGCAGAACAAUUGUGGAACUUUGUAGCAAUAAGUAAGUGCAAAGAUUCUAACAAAAGGAGGAAAAAAAAAAACAGCAUCACCACAGGUACAGCUAAAUACUCACAGCCACAUAGUAACUUGUCCCCAUAUAAGUAGAUGCUUGUCCAUAGGUUUUUGCCACAGUUGCACUCACACCAAAGUCACCGAUCUUGGCUUCUCCUCUCUGAUUUAUCAAUAAAUUGGAGGGUUUCAAGUCCCUGUGAAUGAUGUGUUUUUCGUGAUGAUUAAGAUACGAUAAACCCUCAAGCACCUGCAGUAGUAGGAAAAGGAAUAAGGAAAACAAAUGGAUGUAAUAUAGAAAUCUAUAAAUUGUAUGAUAUUCCAAAAUGUUUCACCUGCUUACUAAUGGCUGCAAGAUACUUUUCUGGAAUUUUUUUGGCUUUUUUCCGAAGAUCUCCCCAAGUUCCGCAAUCCAUGUACUCCAUGAGAAUUGAAAAUUCACCGUUGGCAUAGAAAGACUCGUAGUACUUGACAACGUAUGGACAUUCCAGUGAAUGAUUAAUUUUCAAUUCCUGGGUAAUUAAUUUCAGUGCAGUCUUAUCGAGGUUCAAUUUUAUAACCUGAAUACAAAUACAGGUUAAAAUUGAUGAGACUUUUCAUCGACACCAAAUUGAGUGUCAAAAAUUAAAAAAGGAUAAAAGAGUAGUAAAUAAUAAAAAAAUUUAAAAUAACAAAACACUUUGUAUUAUUAUUGUCUAUCGGUAAGCUUUUACACUGGUCAUAGUGUAGGUAAAUCAUUCUCAUGCUUUCAUAUUUAAGUGCAUAAAGGAGAGAAUAGGUACUGAGAAAAGCAAAAAUAGGGUUAAAUGUGCCAUACCUUAAAUGCAAAUAACUGUUCCUUGUUCUUGUGUUCCACUAACCACACAAUACCACACAAUACCAUUUGACUCCCCAAUCUUCUUAAUUUUGCGUAUAUCUGCUAAAUUCCAUUGAUUGUCCGAUGCCGAAAUCGGGAGAGCCUGAAGACAAAAAUACACAUAAAAGAACAAACUUUUUUCUUUUCUCUUUUCUAUUAAGCUUAAAACAAAGGUUGAGGUGGAAGGUUACUUGCCCUUUAAACAAAGGGGAAAGUUGCAAUCAAUUCUUUUACCCCUUGUUUGGAAAGGAGAGGAACCAUAACAAUGGAGGAAGGAAAAAAUAAUUAGAAUUUGUCUAUUUUCUUUGCGCUAUUUUGCACACUUUUGUUUGGAUAUAAUGAUUUUUUUUUUUUUGAAAAGGACAAAAUUUUAAAGAAAAUAAAAUAUUAUUAUUGGAAAUUGAGGUGUAGAAGGACAUAGAAAAGUUUGCUUUGUGCCAUUUAAUCUGCUUUUUUAAAGAUAAUAGCAUACCUACGGUUAAUUGUAAUUGGAAAAAUUAUAAUUUUAUGUUUUUUUUUUUUUCAAAAGUAACUAUUUUAUCCUUGCUUAGUGGAGAAUAUAUUAUUUUAUAUCUAUAUUUUGAUUAUGUUUAAUAAAUCAAUCCUUUUGUUAAAUAUUUCUAUUUUUACCGUUAAAUUUAAAUGAAAAUACUAAAAUAUCUUAUAUAUAUUGCAUUAAAGGAUAUUAGUCGUUUGUUCUUUCAUCCUCGCAUGACUUUUUUUUUUUUUCUCCUCACCUCUUUGAACUGUUUUAAUCAAAACCCCUUAUUAUUUGAUGUCAAGAUCUCUAGUCAUAAGAUCACGACAGAAUUGAAGGAUUAGGGUUUUAGGAAAAUGUGAACAUAAGAAAAUUGAGAGAGAGGAGAAGAGAAGAGGAAGAAUAAGAGAUAAAAAGAAAAUUAUAUUGUGAUUCAUUGGUUGAUUGUAAAAAUAUUGGCGAAAUACAUAAAAUUCACAUAAAUUUCACCUGUGAAUUUUGAUACUUGUGGUAUCCUUAACUUUUAUUUUGACUUAUCAAAUACUUUAACUUAUAAAAUUACAUAUGUUAAGCAUUUCAAUUCUCAAAUUUAUUUUAUUGAAUAUUUCAACUUGCAAAAGUUUAGAUAAAAUAAAGAUUCGUUAAAAAGUUGAAAUUUAUUAAAAUUAUUGUUUUAAAAGUCAUGUUAAUUAUAUAUUAAGUUAAUAUUUUACAGAUAAAAGUUAAAAAUCCUAAAAAAUAUUGAUAUUAGUGUCAAAAAGUGUGUAAUAUUAUCAAAAUUUACAAGUUAAAAUGCAAGAUAGGUCAUCUACAAAAUUCUGAGUGCCACAAAGUUAAAAUUACAAAGUUCAGGGGUAAAUUUAUGUAUUCAGUGUAAAAAUAUUGUUAACACCUCACAUUUAUAGUUUGACCCAUAUGGAAUACACAUAACUCAGCAUUAAUAAUUUUUUGACACUUUCUCUUUUAGCAUUAGAUGUGUUUCUUAAUUGAUAUUACUCCUGUAGUGGUAAAUUUGACCAUUUUUAACUUUUUAUGAGAAAUAAAAAAUCAAACCACGUCAAGUUUUAAAAACAAUAAGAGUAAUUAACUAAAGAAAAAAGUACAUUACGUUCUCUGUGGUUUACGAAAUAUAAUUAGUUCAUUGUCUUUUUCAAAAUAUAUCAAUUCGUCUCUAUAUUUUGUUUUCGUUAUACUAUUAUGUCCUUAAUUUAAUCUAUUUUUUGAAUCUUUUCUAUUAAGUUAAUAAGAAAACAUAGAGUUUUAAUGAGAAAUACUAAAAUAUUAUAUAAAAAAAAAUUAUAGUACGAUCUCUAUGGUUUAAAAGAGAUAUUUUCGUUAUUUUAUAAGAUACUUAACGGCAAAAAUACAAAAAAUAGAUGAAAAAUCUUAUAGACCGACGAAAGUAAACUAUAAAAAUGUUUUAAUUUAUUUUUUUAAAAAGAUUGAGAUAAAUUAGUUAUCUUUCCCGAUCCACAUGAAUCCUACUGUGCUUUUUCCUUAAUUAAAUUAUCUUUUAAUUCAAAGUUAAUGCAAAUAUACAGAAAAUGGUAAAAUUAAAAUAAAAUAUUGAACGCUAUUUUGAUUGUUUAAAUGAAAAAAAAAAAGUAAAAAACUGUUAAUUUGGAGAUAUGUAUUAUUAUUGUUGUUAUUGUAAUUAUUAUUAUUAUUAUUAUUUUGUUUGUUUGUCUUUCUUCAAGUUCAGACUGAAAUAGUAGUAUUCAAGGACCAUUCUUUAACUUUGAUCUUAUAUAUAAAAGUUCGCCUAGGGAUAUAAUUUGUUCCACUGAGAAGAUCAUCACUCACCGCCGUUGACAUCAAUCCGGUUGUUCUUCCGUUAUGGCAAAAGACGGAGCCGAACAGUCAUUACCCUCAUCUGAUGGACAGAACAUACCGGCUCCGGCUCCGGCUCCGGCUCCGCAUCCGACUACAGCUCCGGCUACGGCUCCGGUUACAUCGAAUGAGGUCAGGGCAAUAUUUUCAAUCUUACAUAGGAUGUGCCAUGGGGAAUCCACUAUAGGCUAUGGCUGCAUGAGCUGCUAUAUGUACAAUUUUUUCGGCAACUUGAAAGAUCCCAAGCCAUUGGACACACUAAUUCGGUCUUGUAUUCUUCGCCAUUUGACUGGGCUUUAUGCAUCAGAAAAUAGGAAAGACAGCAAGAAGGCCGACUAUUAUAUUAGGUAUCUGUUGCAUUUGAUGGUUGCUGAAAAGACAACAGGUUUUCUUGAUGAACGUGCUUCUGUAAUUCUACAGUUAUGCAAGGUUUUGAGGAGGAUGGUUUGUCGUAAGGAUUCUUUAUAUGUUUUAAGUCUUCACAGUUUAAAAGAUUUGGCGGAAAAGGCCAAUUAUGUGCUUCUUGAUACGUAUAAAAUAUUUUACCCGGAAUGGCAAAUUCUACCCAUUUUUGACGAUUUGGCAAAUAGAUUGCUGAAGGGUUUGCAUCAGUGCAUCAAUUCACCUUCAACCAAGGAGAGAAUGGACUCACUGAUAAGUGAUUUUCGUGACUUCAAGGCAUUUUCACGCCUUUAUUACCAUGCUAUUCAGGAACAGAAAGAGAAUCAAGAAGACAAGGGGAAUGCGGCGCCCAUUUCUUCAGGUAGAUAUAAAAAUGACGGAAGAAAAUUGUCUAUUCGUUAUAUUUGUUUUAAAUUGUUGCAUGACAUUGAGUUCCUGCUUGGAACAGUACAAAAAUCUCUAGUUAAUGGAGAAGAAGUCCAGCCUGAAUGGUCUAUGUACCUUGCCAUUUUGGAAGAACUGAACUUCAUUUCUAGACUUUGCCCCCAUUCUCGGGAUAAAUUUUGGAGUGUAUUAAAAAGUGCAAAGCUUCCAUUAGGUGCUCUAAUUGUUCGAUUCGCUAAGAGAAGAGAUGGCUAUGACUAUCAAUUGCUUCUUGAGCACAACGAUGUAACUGAUAGUGAUUCCAGGAUGCACUUGGCCAUGUUGAUGAUCCCUGGUGUUAAGGAAUCUACAGAUGCAGAGUUGAUGAAGAAGCUAGUUUUCUGGUCUCAAGAUUUGGACACAGAUCAAUUUAGGGCAUUCCAACAUAAGAGUCUUAAAGAUCCUCAAGUAUUACAGGAUUGCUUAUGCAAGUCAUGUGAAGUUAUAUUCAACCCAAAUAAUCCCCUUUUCCUGGCACAUCCAGGCGAUUCUCCAAGUUUCAAUGUUAAUCCUGGUAAGUUCAAUCCCAAAAGGGUAACUUAGUUAACGAAAUUAGAAUCCAAGACUGUUAAUUUGGUGGAAUUAAUAUCAUUUCCUUACUUAUACACAUGUUAUAUAAGCAGAAUUCAAUCCUGAACCCUCCCACUAUGAAUUUGUGGAAUUUGCUGGCAAAGUGAUUGCAUUAGCUUUAAUACAUAAAGUGAGAAUAGGUGUCGCAUUGGACGGUGUGUUCCUAACGCAGCUAGCCAAUUCAUCUAUGUCUUAUACGUCUAAUAAGGAUCUGCUGGUAAGUUCAAUAAUUCCGAACAUUUGGGAUUUUUUCGAGAUAGGUUGUGAUACAGUAAGGCUCUUGAACUUAAUUUGCCGCUAAUAUAUCUUAAACAGGUAUCAUUUUUUGCUCAAGGCUUUGCCAGUGUUUUUGGCGUGUCAUUCAAAGAAUUGUUGUCUUUCAAAGGAUUACAAUAUGAAGACAUUAAUCAAGUGCUGUGUGGACCCUCGACAAGUUCAGUACUAUCUAAUAGUAGUGGGAAAAGAAAGAAGGAGAUACGCAUCGAUCCUCCAUUGUCUCACGGCAAGGAGGUAAGGACUUUUCUGGUUUUUACUUGGUUUCCCCAAGUUUUGAUUUUUUUUUUUUUUUUUUUCUGUAAGAGUAAAUUUUUUAUACUAAAAGUUCUCCACAAAUCUUCAAGUAUUGCAAGGAUUUACCCUUUCAGGUUACAGUAGCGCUAAAAGUUCUAAACUGCUGUUAAAUCUGCAAACUUAAUCUACCACCGUUGUAGACUAGUUGAGAACUAAAGCAAGCGUGAUGAAUUUGGCAGGUCAAAAAACCAGAACGUAACUUUAGGAAUUGGCAAAGGGGCUCAAUGUUGGGAAGUGGGUCGUUUGGAGAAGUCUACAAAGGAACUGCUGAUCCCAACGGAUUCCUUUUUGCUGCAAAAAAAGUUCCACUUGAAGACACACAAAAAGUCAGCUCAAUUGAGCAUACGGUUGGUUCACUACGUCAACUACAUCACGAAAAUAUAGUCGAAUAUUUUGGCACAAAAAAGGAGGAAGCAAAUCUCUAUAUUUUUCACGAGUUUGUAAGUGGAGGGUCUCUCGAUAAAGUUCAUAAAGAAUUAAUCCUUGAUGAUGCCCGAGUGUCCUGCUACACACAACAGAUACUGAAAGGUUUGAAGUAUCUCCAUGAGCAAAAUGUUAUGCAUGGAGACAUCAAAUGUGCAAACAUACUGUUGAAUGAUAAAGGAGUUGUGCAGAUUGCUGAUUUUGGAUUGGCAAAGGUAAUUGAUUCAGAGAAUCUCCACAACUCAAGCAGAGCGAUUCCAGCCUGGUCCGCUCCUGAGGUCAUUGAUUCGACACGACAAGGAGGAUAUGGACUUGAAGCAGAUAUAUGGAGCCUUGGCUGUACCGUAUUAGAGAUGCUAACUGGAGAAUAUCCAUAUUGUCAUUUAGAACCCUGGACGAUAUGGUAUCGGAUUGGAGAAGGCAUUCCACCUGAUGUUCCUGAUUUUCUCUCUGAUACUUCCCGUGACUUUAUCGAGAAAUGCCUACAAAUUGAUCCAAAGGCACGUCCAACUGCUGCCCAGCUUUUACAGCAUCCAUUUGUAAAGAGGUGAAAGCAAUCAGCAGCACCUGCAAGCAGAAUGAGAAAAAUAUGUCAUGAACUGACGACAAAAUGGAUUGAUUAAUGCUUAUAGUAAAGAGCGAUGUAUGAUUUAAUUUGAUAUAUGGUGCAAAUUGCUGAUUUUGGAUUGGGAAAUGUAAUUGCUUAGAAUCUUUAAUUUGGUAUCACAGGAAUCUUCUUAUAUGGCAACACUCGCUGUUAGGAUCAUAUACAAUGGAUCCUAACUGUUCAUGCGAGAAUAACAUAACAGUAGUGUUUGGAAGAUGAGAAAAGAAAAGAAAGGGUGAGAGAGAGAGAAUAGAAAAGAGGAUAGUAUAUUCAUUCGUUAAUUUAUUAACCUUCAAUAUCUCAAUACAAGAGUACAUACAAUGUGCCUGCUCAACACUAAUAUCAGUUCAACACCUAAUUAAUUGCUUCUCAUGUACUUGCAACUAAUCACAAUAAAGCUCCCAUAUCAAUACUUAUUAUAAUAUAUCCUAACAUAGUCCUCACACCCGCACGCCCCUUCCUCCAUGGUUGUUUCUCUUGAUCUACGCUGCCUUAAUGACUGGAAAUCUGCAAAAGAAACUAGUACAGUAACAUGUACUUCGAUAUUUGCUCAUUGUUGGAUUCCACCGCAUGCUGGCUCUCUCAAGUGCAACGUAUAAACUACCAUAUUUCCAAAUCAUAAUGGUAUGAAUUUAGGGCCAUUGUCAGGGAUUCUAAUGGACAGUUUGUUGCGGCUUAUCUGGACUUACUGCAGGUCUAAACACUCCUCAGAUGGCUGAAGUGCUUGGCAUUGCUGGGGUUUUUCUUGGAUCAAACUUCAGCAUGUUAAAGCAAUCGAGCGUUUUGUUCUACAGAUCGGGAUGAUUCAGAGUUUGGUAGAAUUAUAAAUGAUUGUAAGAAGACAAGCUAAUAAACUGAUAUUAUUAUUUCUGAUUCUAUCGUGCAUUAAUAAGAGUAUCCUUUUAUUCCUUAAAAAAACCACCUCUUAAAAAUUAACUUAAAAACAAAAAUUAUAACAUGAAUUGGAAAUCAUAUGGAAUGUUCUCAAUAGUGUAUACAAUAGGUAUCAUCAGAUAAUUUUCAUGGAUCUGGAUUGAGCUUUUCAGAUUCACUCCAGAUGAGUUCCUUGAUAUUUUCCAGAGGAAAUAGUGGCUGCUCAAAAUCAAAGUUGAAAGGGCUUGGGCAAACAGGCUCCUCAUUUUUACAGUGAUAAAGUGUCAAGUAAGGGUGGUUUAGAGCAUCAUCAACUGCAAAGAAGGAAACAAGAUGGGAGAAUCUUUGUCAAUCAGUAAUAUUAAUUACACUAAAUUUAAGAAUUUAAUAAAGACCUAAAAAGUAAGACAUGAUUUCAACAUGUUUUGUCAACCAUGACCUUCAUUCUAACUAUCUGUUAUCAUUUUCAUCCUUAAAUCUUAUCACUGUGCUACAAAACCGCCAUUAGAAUACAUAAUCAAGUCACCUGCCACAAGAUUAUACCUGUGUUAUGUGUAAGUUACCGUCUUAUUAUUAAACGUCCGACUGAUGAAAUAUUAGACUAAAACUGAGAUAAAAAGUAGGAGCGUUCCGACAACAAUAGCUUUAACCAAAACGCUAUCUCUGUGAAUUAUAGAAUUGAUAACAAAUUUUAUAAUAGCAUUUAAACCGUUAUAUGAAUAACUAUCGGUUAAUAGUUAUUAAAUAAUUAAUUUGACUAAAGACACAGUUACAAAAAAAUUUGUGAUUUGAUCUAAUAUAAAAAUAUAAAAAAAUUAAUUCAGUUUAUGAUUUUGAAAUCAAAAUAUUCUAAACUGAAUUGAAUCAAACAAAACGUAUAUUAAUAUGUAUUUUUUUAUGUACAUCUAGAUUAAUCAAAUUUUUUUUAAUAAACUAUAUAUAUUAUAAAUUUUUUGGUAUAUCUUACCUAUACUACUAAGUCAAUAAGUCAAUAAGUUUUCUACAAAAAAAAAAAAGUAUUCAUAAAUCUUUAACAAUGUAAAGUAUUUUGUAUAAUUUUCUUUUAUAUAGCAAUAAAUAUGUUUCACACCACCCACCUAACACAAUUCAUAAAAAAGAAAAUUAGUAGUUUUUUUUUUAAAGAAUAUAAAAUCAGUAGUUAAAAGUCAAUACUUGAUGCUGAAUGAUUUGAAAAACAAUUAUAUAUUUAUGUUGUAUUAUUACUUUUUAAUUAUAACAUUAUUUAUGAUUAUAUUUCGUUAAAUAUUUAUAAAUAAUUAGAAUAAAAAUAAAAGAUAAAUAAUCCAAUUAAAACAAGUUGAUUUGGUCUAACUGUGAUUUAGUUAUCAAAUCAAUUCGAUAUCUGAUCCGAUUUUAAGAAUAGUGAUUUUCUUUUUAAAAAAAAAUUAAAAUAAAAAAUACUCUUUAAAAAAUCGAUUCCCACUUGCUCACACAACAUUUGCUAAAGAUUCUGUGUGUCAUAUAACACUUUCUCAUUCACACCGAUCAGCUAGUGCGCUGUCACUUGAUAUCGGAUCUUUUCUAAAUGAAGAAUUUGCCCUUCGACGGGAACUCCUACUAUUACUAUCUGCCUACGUCACUCUUUAUUUAAUAAAGCUAUUUCCCACGGUCAAGCCUAGUAGAGCUCCUAGUCAGCUCACUUCACGCGCACAGGCAAGACAUUAUUGCUUAUGUUUAGGCGUGACAUAACACUUUUAAUUUAUUAAUAGGAAAUUAGGUAGAAUAUGUUGAUAGAAAAGUCUAUUUUGUUUAAUUUAAUUCAACAAUGUCGGUUUAAUUAAUUAAUUGGAAAUUGAGGUGGAAAAGGACAUAGAAAAGUUUGUUUUGUGUCGGUUAAUUUGCUUUUUUAAAGGACAUUAGCGGUUUGUUCUUUCAUUCUCGGAUGACAUUCUUUCUUCUCCUCACCUCUGUUGAAUCAAAACUCCUUAUCGACUGAUGUCAAGAUCUCUAGUCGUAAGAUCACGACAGAAUUAAAGGAUUAGGGUUUUAGGGGAAUAUAAACAUAAGAAAAUUGAGAGAGAAGAGAAGAGAAGAGGAAGAAUAAGAGAUACAAAGAAAAUUUAUUCCACUGAUAAGAUCAUCAUUCACCGCCGUUAACAUCAAUCCGGUUGUUCUUCCGUUAUGGCAAGCGAAGUAGCCGAACAGUCAUUACCCUCGUCUGAUAGACAGAACAUACCGGCUCCGGUUACAUUGAAUGAGAUCAAUGCAAUAAUUUCAAUCUUACAUAGGAUGCGCCAAGGGGAAUCCACUUUAGUCUAUGGAUGCAUGAACUGCUAUAUGUACAAUUUGCUCGGCAACUUGAAAGAUCCCGAGCCAUUGGACGCACUAAUUCAGUCUUGUAUUCUUAAGCAUUUGGCUGCGCUUUAUGCAUCAGAAAAUAUAAGAGACAGCAAGAAGGCUGACUAUUAUAUUAGGUAUCUGUUGUAUUUGAUGAUUGCUGAAAAGACAACAGGUUUUCUUGAUGAACGUGCUUCUGUAAUUCUACAGUUAUGCAAGUUUUUGAGGACGAUGGUUUGUCUUGAGGAUUCUUUAUAUGUUUUAAGUCUUCACAGUUUAAGAGAUUUGGCGGAAAAGGCCAAUUAUGUGCUUCUUGAUAGGUAUAAAAUAUUGUUCCCGGAAUGGCAGACUCUACCCAUGUUUGACGAUUUGGCAUAUAGAUUGCUGAAGGAUUUGCAUCAGUGCAUCACUUCACCUUCAACCAAGGAGACAAUGGACUCAUUAAUAAGUGAUUUUCGUGACUUCAAGGCAUUAUCACGCCUUUUAUACCAUGCUAUUCAGGAACAGAAAGAGAAGCAAGAAGACAAGGGGAAGGAAGAGGAGGAGGAGGAGGAGGAGAAGGCAGCGCCCAUUUCUUCAGAGAGAUAUAAAAAUGACGGAAGAAAAUUGUCUAUUCAUUAUAUUUGUUUUAAAUUGUUGCAUGACAUUGAGUUCCUGCUUUGAACAGUACAAAAAUCUCUAGUUAAUGGAGAAGAAGUCCAGCCUGAAUGGUCUAUGUACCUUGCCAUUUUGGAAGAACUGAACUUCAUUUCUAGACUUUGCCCCCAUUCUCGGGAUAAAUUUUGGAGUGUAUUAAAAAGUGCAAAGCUUCCAUUAGGUGCUCUAAUUGUUCGAUUCGCUAAGAGAAGAGAUGGCUAUGACUAUCAAUGGCUUCUUGAGCACAACGAUGUAACUGAUAAUGAUUCCAGGAUGCAUUGGCCAUGUUGAUGAUCCCUGGGGUUAAGGAAUCUACAGAUGCAGAGUUGAUGAAGAAGCUAGUUUUCUGGUCUCAAGAUUUGGACACAGAUCAAUUUAGGGCAUUCCAGCAUAAUAGUCUUACAGAUCCUCGAGUAUUACAGGAUUGGUUAUGCAAGUCAUGUGAAGUUAUAUUCAACCCAAAUAAUCCCCUUAUCCUAGCACAUCCAUGCGAUUCUCCAAGUUUCAAUGUUAAUCCUGGUAAGUUCAAUCCCAAAAUGGUAACUUAGUUAAUGAAAUUAGAAUCCAAGACUGUUUAUUUGGUGAAAUUAAUAUCAUUUCCUUACUUAUAAACAUGUUAUAUAAGCAGAAUUCAAUCCUGAACUCUCCCACUAUGAAUUUGUGGAAUUUGCUGGCAAAGUGAUUGCAUUAGCUUUAAUACAUAAAGUGAGAAUAGGUGUCGCAUUGGACGGUGUGUUCCUAACGCAGCUGGCCAAUUCAUCUAUGUCUUACAGGUCUAAUAAGGAUCUGCUGGUAAGUUCAAUAAUUCAGAACAUUUGGGAAUUUUACUCAAUAUCGGAAAGCUGUGAACUUUGCCCCUAACAUAUCUUAAACAGGUAUCAUUUUUUGCACAAGGCUUUGCCAGUAUCUUUGGUGUAUCAAUCAAAGAAUUGUUGUCUUUCAAAGGGUUACAGCAUCAAGACAUUAAUCAAGUGUUGUGUGGACCCAGAACACUAUCUAAUGGUACUGUGAACAAGAUUAGUGGAGAAAGGAAGACAGAGGUUCAUGUCGAUCCUCUGUUGUCUUACGACCAGAAGGUAAGGAUUUUCCUGGUUUCAAUUUUAUUUGUUUCCCCAUGUUUUGGCUUUUGAGUAAAUUUUGCUGCAUAUUUAUGUAUAGUAGUGAAAGUUCUCCACAGGUCUUCAAAUUGCAACAACUUGAAUUGCUGUUAUAUUGUCAAACUUAAUCUAGUAAAUGAGCUAAGAACUAAAGCAAGAUAAAUUCUUGGCAGGUCAAAAGGAUAAUAGAUAGCAUUAGCAGUUGGCGAAGGGGCUCAAUAUUGGGAAGUUGGUCAUUUGGAGAAGUCUAUGAAGGAAUUGCUGAUUCCGAUGGAUUUGUUUUUGCUGCAAAGAAAGUUCCUCUUGAAUGCGCUGAAAAAUUCAGCUCAAUAAAGGAUAAGAUUGAUUCAUUGCUUCAACUACAUCAUGAAAAUAUAGUUGAAUGUCUUGGCACAAAAAUGAAGGACGACGAUCUCUAUAUUUUUCUUGAGUUUGUAAAUGGACGCUCCCUCGAUAAAGUUUAUAAAGAACUAACCCUUAAUGAUGCCCUAGUGUCCUGCUACACCAAAGAGAUACUGAAAGGUUUGGAGUAUCUCCAUGAACGAAAUUUCAUCCACGGAAACAUGAAAUGUGCGAACAUUCUGUUGAAAGACAAUGGAGGCCUGAAAAUUGCAGAUUUUGGAUUGACAAAUUNNNNNNNNNNNNNNNNNNNNNNNNNNNNNNNNNNNNNNNNNNNNNNNNNNNNNNNNNNNNNNNNNNNNNNNNNNNNNNNNNNNNNNNNNNNNNNNNNNNNNNNNNNNNNNNNNNNNNNNNNNNNNNNNNNNNNNNNNNNNNNNNNNNUUUAGAACCUUGGUCGAUAUGGUAUCGGAUCGGACAAGGUAUUCCACCUUCUAUUCCCGAUUCUCUCUCUGAUAAUUCUCGGAACUUUAUCCAGAAAUGCCUACAAGUUAAUCUAAAGGAACGUCCAACUGCUUCCCAGCUUUUAGAGCAUCCAUUUGUAAAGGUCACAGCAACCUGUAGUAGCACCUGCCAAGCCAAUUACUAUUGCCAUUAAAGACAUGGAUUUGUAAUUCUAUUUUUUGUGUAUUUAUUUUAUCUUUCUGUAUUUAUUACAUAAUAAAUUUUGUAGUUAUUGGAUUUAAUUUUAUUUACAAUGUAAUUAAUUUUGUAUUUUUCUGGUUUUCUUACUUGAAAUACCCUUCAAUUCCUCCAUUAUUAAUUUUAUUUACGUAAUUAAUCAUUUUUUGUAGUCUUUUAAAGUACAUUAUCUAUUUUUCUUUUUUGAAAGGAACAUUAUUUAUUUUUCUAAUAUUAUUUUUAGUUAGUAUGCAAUGAUAUUAAUAAUAUUUUAAUUUAAUCUAUUAAGUACGUAAAAAUAAAUUCAUGGAAACAUAACCUGAAUUAACAAGUCAUUUGUUGCAAACAUAAACUGAAUCAUUUGUUGCAAACAUAAACUGAAUUAUAAUUGAAGGAACAAAAUCACCAUCAACCGCAAACUUCUAUACUACUCUUAAAAUUUAACUUUAAAAAGUNNNNNNNNNNNNNNNNNNNNNNNNNNNNNNNNNNNNNNNNNNNNNNNNNNNNNNNNNNCAUAGGAAUCAUGGAAUAUUUUCCAAAGUGUGUACAACACAUUAUCAGAUAAUCUUCAUGGAUAUGGAUUGAAUUGUUCAGAUUCAACCCAGAUGAGUUCCAUUAUCUCGACCUCAGAAAGUGAUGACUCGUCAAAAUCAAAGUAGAAAAGGCUUGGGUAAUCAGGUUCGUUUUUGACAUCAUGAUAAUGUGCCAAAUAAGAGUGCUUUAAAGCUUCAUUAACUGCACAGAAGGAAAUAAAAUGGGAGAAGCUUUGUCAAUAAGCAAAUUAAAAGUGAAACUCGAUCAUAUUCAUCUUGAUUUGUCAAUUAUAUGCAAUUUUUACUCUUGGUAUAGAUGGUUCGAAUUGAAUCAAGUUUAAGUCAACCCAAAUCGUCUUUUUCUUUUUUCAGUUUGUUUCAUUCUCUACUUUAGAAAGAGAGAAUUUUGAGGAUUGUCAGUUUUUUUCAGUUCUAACUGUCAUGGACACUGACAUAAUAAUUUUGUCACUUGCUAGAGGACAAUAAUGCCUUAAGUGGUAAUAUACACUUAGUUCAGCAGAAAAUCUCUGCAAGGUUAGCUGUUCGAUAUGUGAUACGUGGAAAAAACACCUAUGAAAAGGAUAACCACAGAUUUCAAAAUGAAAUUAAUCUCGUCUAAUUGAUACAGGGAUACUCUUAGGAAAACGAAAAAAUUAAAAUGUCACUUCGUACCUGUAAUGCGCUCGUUUGGAUCAUAGACUAGCAUCCUCUCCAAUAGAUGAAGAGCAUCUUCAGACAUAUUAGGAGCAUACGGAAACAUAUUACGAAAUCUAGUAGCAAAAUCUGGCCUUGAACCAUUAUCGUCUUGCAGACCGAUGAGCUAGAGGAAGAGAAAAAUUGUAGAUGAGAUGUUUCACUUUUAAGUAAUUUGACACAAUAGAUAGAGAACAUGCAAUUCCAUAUAUCAAUGCACCAGCUAUAUAUUUCCUUUCCAAACAUGCCAGAAACUAAGCGGUUGUGGCAUGCAUGUUGAAAAUUAAGCUUUGUCUAGCACAAGAGAGCAAAACAAAGAGGAUCAUCUCAUGUUAUUCCACCACUCACACGAAAUAAAGCCAUGGAGAUGGGGAUGGGAGACACAGAAAGGAAAAGGAUAGGGAGUAGGAGAAAGAAGAAGAGGGCAAACGGUGGAAGAGAGAAGGAUGACCUGAGAAAAUCAGAAAGGCAUAUAACUUAGAAAGACUCGAGGCUCUAAACAAUAAUGAUACAUGACAAAUUAGUGAAACAGAAGAUUUCAGGUCUUCAAAAUUAAGAACAAUAAGAAGUUGUCAGUGUAGAGGAAAAAAAAUAGUCCAGGGAAGAUUUGCUGAGCAAUGUCCACAAACAUACGUUCUUGAUAAGCUUCAAUAUACAAGUAGAGGUUUUUUCAGGAAACAAAGGUUUGCGUGUCAUUACCUCACCAAGUAUACAACCCACUGACCAUAUAUCAAUUGCUUCAGUGUAAUGUGAUUGCCUCUUGAGCAAUUCUGGUGCUCGAUACCAGCGUCUGACAAGUUCCUCAGUCAUGGGGUCGGUUUCUGAUUUUAUCCUUGCAAGACCAAAGUCUGCAAUCUUAAGGUGACCUUUAGCAUUCAGGAGCAAAUUUUCAGUCUUUAGAUCACGAUGCAGAACACCUGCUGAGUGUACAUAUUUGAGCCCUCGGAGCAAUUGAUAUAAAAAGUACUACAAAAGUAAAAAAAAAAAUGAUGAGGAGUAAAAAUUGUGUGGUAAUUUAUUGUUCACAAGGGCAAGAGGCAAGAAUUUCAGAAGCAGUAUGAUGCUGGGACUAGUUAAGGGUUAAGGUGAAUAUCAAAGAAUUUUGAAAUCAUAAGUAAUUGGAAAAGAAAAAAUAUAGCUACAAUUGUAAAGUACUUCAUAGAAAAUAAGCAAUCCAAGAAAAAGAAUGAUGCGUACCUGACACUGUUUAUCAGUCAAUUCUUGUUCGGAUUUUAUUACUUUAUCAAGACCAGUUUCCAUCAAUUCAUAAACAAUGUACACAUCGUUGAAGUCCUCCUGAGGGGGUCGUAUUGUAUCUUUGAUAGAAACAAUCUGAGGACAAUAUAUAGCGACAGAGUAAGAUAAUAAUCCCAACCCCUGAAAAGAGCAGUAACGCCAUAUUUCAUGCCCAAUGACAAAAGUAAUUUCUGACUGUCUUGUUUAUAGAAUAUUACAAAUUAAAUUAGUGAAUUCAUGAGUAUAACAACCACAACGAAACUCACAUUUUGAUGGUCCAUGUGCAGGAGAAGCUUAAAUCAGUUACAGUCUGGAUUAAAUAUUGUUUGGUUGGAUGUCCGGACAAUUGUAGGACAAUAUAACCAGAACAGCAUUCAUCCAACCAAAUCGAAAUGAAAUAAUUCUUUUUUUUUUUUUUUUUGAUAAAAAAUUGAAAUGAACAAAUUACUGAAGGUUAUAAAUGUUACUGAUUUAGCUGAAACAUUGAACCAGUCUGACUCUAAUCAAAAUCACAUCUUCAGUUUGAUUUUCCUGUUUGAACUAAAAUUUGGACUGACCAAAUUACUAAUUUUGAUAAAUUCAGUCUAUUUGGUUUCCUGAAAAAAACCCGAAUUUAUUUGAUAAAUUACUAAUUUUGACCAACUUGGAUCCAAACCCGAUUUCGAAGAUUAAACCCGAAUUUAUUGGAGAGGCGAGGUGAGGGCAGAAGAGAAAUUAAAGGAGUCAGAGUUUGACUCAGUUAACAUUGGUCUUUUCGUUUGCAAAACGAUAUGAAAACUUGAAGAGCAAGUCAGAAGAAUAUUAUUUUUCUUUUGAAGAGAAUUAGAAGAAUAUUAUUUGGAAAAAAGAAAAAGUUAACCGUUCUUAAUUUUUAAAUUCUUUUUCUUAUUCUUAUAUAUAUAUUUUAAAUAUUUUAAUAAACCACUAGCACUAAUAAUGUUGUUUUGUCAAUACUUCACUCAUCGUUUCUAUUAUUAGCAGUUGCUAUCCCCUCGUUCAUCCAUUGUAGAAAAUGGCCAAACUCUCAUCAUCCUCAGUUGAUCCAUCAGAGUACAUCAAGGCCAUAAUUUCAAUGUUAGCUAUGAUACGUCAAGGCGAAUCCAUUGAGGAUGAUCGCAUAACAAGCUUCACUGAAAAAUUUCUUGACGAUUUCAGCAUUCCAGAGCGUUUUGAAACACUAAUUCAGUCUGGUAUUUUAGAGACUUUCGCUGCGCUGUACAAAUGCGAAAAUAUCACCACACACAGAGAGAAAGGCGAAGAGUAUAUUCGAUAUCUGCUGAAUUUGAUUGCUGCGACUCAUCUAACAAGUUGCCUUGACGAACGUGCCUCUGUCGUCUUAGAAUUAUGUUUGUUUUUGAGCAGCAAGGGUGAGGAUCCUCUCUACUUACUAACGAUUCGUCGUUUAAGAGAACUAGCAGAAAAGCGUAAGGAUGUGCUCCGUUUUAAGCUUAAAAUGGAAACAAUUUCCCAAAUUUCAUUCGUCGUUGAAGAUUUGCAAGACAGGUUGGUACGGGAUUUAGAUUUGUGCAACACUUCAUCUUCAAGCAAGGAGAAUGCAAAGUCGUUUUUGGAUGAUUUUAAGGACUUCAAGGUAUUUUCACGCCUUUUCUGUCACCUAAUUCAAGAAUCGAUCCCUACUCCUAUUCCAGCUAUUAAUUCUAUUUAUGACGGGAAAAUCGAUUCUCUACAUAGUGUAUUUCGUAAAUUGUUGAAAAAGAUGGAGCACCUGCUUGAAGCACUUCAAAUAGACUAUAGUGGCAAAGAAAAUGUCCGACCUGAAUGGUCUCUGUAUCUUGCCAUUUUAGAAGAACUGAAUUUCAUAUCUAAAAUUUUUGAGGAUGCAAACGAGGAAUUUUGGGAUGUAUUAAAGAAGACGAAGGUUUCAAUACGUGCACUGAUUCUUCGAUGCGCUGGUAGAACAGAUGACUAUGACUAUGGGUGGCUUCUUAAGCAUAAUGAUGUGACUGAUUCUGAAUCCAGGAUGCAUUUAGCCUUGUUGAUGAUACCUCAAGUAAAAGAACCUGAUGUGAAGACGAUUAAGAAGGUUUUUGAUUGGUCUCAGAAGAAUCUACCCCCUAACCUGUUGGGAGUUUUCGUGAAUGAGAAACUUACAGAUCCUCAAGUUUUGAAGGAUUGGUUGUGGAAGUCCAGU